UAAAAUUUUAAUAUUAUUUAUUUAUUCCCGAUUUAAGGAGGGCUAUAAGGUUUAUUUAUUUUAAUGUGAAAUAAUUAUUUAUAAUAGACUUAUAGAAAUAAGAUGUUAUUCGAACUUUAAGAUAUCUGGUUUUUUAAGAAAUGAAUUUAAUUUAUUGUUUGAUAUAUAGUUUGAUAAUUUGUUAUUUAAUUAUUAUUAAAUAAAAAUAUUUUUAGGGAUAAGCUUGAAAAUAAAAUUCUAAUGAAAUUUAUUGAUAAUACUUAAUGGGAUUGGAGGUUUCUAUUUAUAAAUAGUGUGUUAUUACAAGGUAUUUGUUGAAAAGUAUUUAUAUGGAAAUUUAGAUUAUUAUUAGAAUUAUAAGUUUAAUUAUAAAUCUUAGGUUAUAAUGAUUAAAUUAGUAUAAAUUGUUUAAUAAAGUAAUUUGAAUAGGUAGGUAAAAUGAAAGGAAUUCGGCAAAUUGUGUUUUCGCCUGUUUAUUAAAAACAUGGUUUUUUGAUUAUAAUUUAAAAUCGGACCUGCCCACUGAGGUAUUAAAUGGCUGCAGUAUAUUGACUGUACUAAGGUAGCAUAAUAAUUAGUUUUUUAAUUGGAAACUGGAAUGAAAGGUUGGACGAGAAAUAAGCUGUCUUUAUUUUAAUUAAUUGGAAUUUUACUUUUGAGUAAAAAGGCUUAAAUUUGAUUAAAAGACGAGAAGACCCUAUAGAACUUUAUAUUAUUAUAUUUAAUAAUUUUUAGGUAAUUAUUAUUCUUAAUUUUAAUGAUAUUUGAUUGGGGCGAUUGAAAAAUUUAAUAAACUUUUUUAUGUUAAACCAUUAAUUUAUGAAUAAAUGAUCCAUUAUUAUGAUUAGAAGAUUAAGUUACCUUAGGGAUAACAGCGUAAUUCUUUUUGAUAGUUCAUAUUGGAAGAAGGGAUUGCGACCUCGAUGUUGGAUUAAAAUUAAUUUUGGGUGUAGUAGCUUGAAAAUUAGGUCUGUUCAACCUUUGAAAUUUU
rnacentral:rRNA from 1 species